GACGAACCGUGCGAACGUUGUUCGGAAUCACUGGGCUUAAAGGGCGCGUAGGCGGGUGAUCAAGUCCGGGGUGAAAUCCUCCAGCUUAACUGGAGAAUAGCCCUGGAUACUGGUCGUCUUGAGUGAGGUAGGGGCAUGUGGAACUUCCGGUGGAGCGGUGAAAUGCGUAGAUAUCGGAAGGAACGCCGGUGGCGAAAGCGACGUGCUGGACCUCUUCUGACGCUGAGGCGCGAAAGCCAGGGGAGCAAACGGG
rnacentral:rRNA from 1 species